CUGAAAUUCUUGAAGAGCAGAUUGAUGGAGUGAGAUACUUUAGAUUCAAAGUCGUUUCAUGCGGUACAGUAUGCUUGGCCUCUGGAUCGGAGCAGAUACGCUGUUGUCUGGUCAGACAAUACCCUGAAGUGAGAUGGAUCUAUGUUAAUCGCCAAACCUAACAGCACUGACAGUGAGGAGAAUGAAGACCCCUCAGAGCGCCAAGAGUUCUUCAUCUGCGCUCGGGAGAGUGAGUGAAAGGGAGAAAGCGUGCUGUGUAUUUACUCAGGCCUGCCGUGAAGAUACAGCGGCUCAAAGGGGGAACGGCUUCGCUCUGCAGUCUGGGGCCUCCUAACAAGAUGACCUGAGCAACAAGGAUGCCUGCAGCCAUGAGUUGCUAAAGGAAGAGUUGAGGCUACUACCGCUGAGCAGUAAGAUAAGCAUGUUAACACACCAAAAGAAACCUGCCACUAGGUCCUGUAGUUUGGGCGAUACGGCGCAACAAAGUCAUACCUUUCACUCCACAUGUCAAGAAAGAGAUGAAAUCCUUGAAGAUGAGGAAUCCCCACGCCAAAGGAGGAUAACUGUUGCAUCAUACAUUCCGCAGUCCAAAGACCAUACUGGAAAAAGUGUAGUGAAGUCGAAUUCUAAUGGGUAUAGAGCCAAAUCUUUAGCAGAGCUGAACACAGAGGAGGUUUGCCAGUGGUUUAGUAAUAUUGGUCUACAGAAAUGCCUGCCCUUCAUUAGAGAGGCAGAGUUCAGUGGGUCCCACAUCGCUUCUAUUGAUCUCAACACCCUCGAAAUCCUUCAAGUGUCCAAUCUGGAGGAAAGAGAGAGGCUGCUGUCUGCCAUUUACCAUGAGUUACACCCGCCAAACUCCACCACCCAAAGACUCGACUCCCUCCUUGAAAGAUUUGGUCCACACAAUGUUGAGAAAUUCACAGCAGCUUUGGUUUCCAUGACCAAGUCAAAAUCUUCUCCUCAAGUUAGCAGCAUCAACAUGAACCAAUGUUCAUUCAAAUUCAGACAGAAAGAACAAAAUGCAAAAAUUCAGAAGAACUCGCAUCUCAUUGAAAUCACAGUCAAUGUGUCAGAUCGAACAGUUCAUUUAAGGACCCCCAAAGAGACAAGUGUGGGAAAAGUGGUGGAGUCCUGUCUGAGGAUGCUGGGAAUUAAUGAAGACAAAGAUCACUUCAACCUAAAAAGCAGUGAAGAUGAGUUCUCCCCUGAGCAGCAGAUUGGAGAUUUGCCUGGCUCAGAGACGAGACUAAUGGAGCUUCACUUAUAUAGGAAGGAAACACAGAAAGUGGGUCCUUAUUCAUCAGAUAACAACAUUAUUAGUACCACUGACAAUAUUCCGUGCAAAAAUCUGCUAAACAACACUGGGAAGAUUCAAAAGCUAAAUCAACAGGUGGCCUCCCUUCAAAACGUCAUCAUACAGGUUCAGGAGCUUUACCAUGGUCUGGUAGCCUUCUGUUCAGAGCUGAAGAAGAUGGAGGGGGAGAUGGAUGCAGUGCAAACAGACAGCUUUGAAGUGAAGAGGCUUCUCAGUGAGGCCCAGGACAAUCUGCAAAGGAAAAGACAGAGUCUUCAAACGCUCAGGGACAAUCUUAACACUGCACCAGUGCAGAAGAAUAAGCCAUCAGAGGUCCGACUUCUGGAGAAGAUGAGGCUAAACUGCCAGGUGUUUAAAGACGAGAUCACACUAGUCCACCUCAAUCGACAGGUGGCUCACCUGCGUGAAGUUCUGGAGAAGACACAGGCCAAGGAGAAAGCCAAGAGGAAGAGCCCUACUCUGACUCAGCUGGUCUCUUUGCAGUCUCCUGUCAUGCUGGUGGCCACCCAAGUGAAAGCAGACCCAGACGGUCAUUACGGUUUCUCUGCGCACUGGGUAGAGGGCCAGGGCCUGAUGGUGGUACAUAGUGAGGGUGCUAAUCUCUGCCUGAAUGACAGGCUGGUGGAGGUUAACGGAGUGGACGUCUUGGGGAGCAGUGAGGAUGAGUUGGAGCUGAUGCUUAAGACACACACUGCCCACAUUGUUGUUCUUCGCCAGCUGGCCCAAGAACUUCCACAGGAAGACCCAUCUGCCCCCACUUCAGACAGAUUUCUGCUCUGAGGGAUCAACAGGACAUACAAAUGCUGCAGAAACAUCAAGCAAUGUAAACCAACUAAACACUGUCCAG
ensembl:lncRNA